AAAAAAGAUAAAAGAGAAAUUUAUUUAUUGUUUUAUGAAAAGCAGACACCUGGGGUGGCCCAUUAAUAAAGAAGAAGUCAAUAAGCACGUUGACAUGUUGUUUGGCACAUCUAUCUAAUUUAAUAGCUUCUGCGUUACUAUUUUCUGGCCACCUUGGUUUUCUUCUCUUUAAAUAUCAUUAAAAUCACUUUUGAAAAUCCAAAUUCCAAACUGUCUUUCCAAUUAGUACGUACAGGUGUGUUUUUUUUCCUCUAAACCCAUUCAAUUCAACCUUCUCUUCUAACCAAACUUUUUAACUUUU
rnacentral:lncRNA from 1 species